AUUGAACGCUGGCGGCAUGCCUUACACAUGCAAGUCGAACGGUAACAGGUCUUCGGAUGCUGACGAGUGGCGAACGGGUGAGUAAUACAUCGGAACGUGCCCGAGAGUGGGGGAUAACGAGGCGAAAGCUUUGCUAAUACCGCAUACGAUCUCAGGAUGAAAGCAGGGGACCGCAAGGCCUUGCGCUCACGGAGCGGCCGAUGGCAGAUUGGGUAGUUGGUGGGAUAAAAGCUUACCAAGCCGACGAUCUGUAGCUGGUCUGAGAGGACGACCAGCCACGCUGGGACUGAGACACGGCCCAGACUCCUACGGGAGGCAGCAGUGGGGAAGUUUGGAAAAUGGGCGAAAGCCUGAUCCAGCCAUGCCGCGUGCAGGAUGAAGGCCUUCGGGUUGUAAACUGCUUUUGUACGGAACGAAAAGACUCCUUCUAAUAAAGGGGGUCCAUGACGGUACCGUAAGAAUAAGCACCGGCUAACUACGUGCCAGCCGCCGCCGUAAUAC
rnacentral:rRNA from 1 species